AUUCCAUCCUUCGACUAGCGACU
rnacentral:miRNA from 1 species